UUAAAUUGAAGAGUUUGAUCAUGGCUCAGAUUGAACGCUGGCGGCAGGCCUAACACAUGCAAGUCGAGCGGCAGCGGGAAAGUAGCUUGCUACUUUUGCCGGCGAGCGGCGGACGGGUGAGUAAUGCCUGGG
rnacentral:rRNA from 1 species